AUACGGAGGGUGCAAGCGUUACUCGGAAUCACUGGGCGUAAAGCGCGCGCAGGCGGCUUGAUAAGUUGGAUGUGAAAGCCUACGGCUCAACCGUAGAACUGCAUCCAAAACUGUCAAGCUAGAGUCUGGGAGGAGAAGAUGGAAUUAGUUGUGUAGGGGUAAAAUCCGUAGAGAUAACUAGGAAUACCAAAAGCGAAGGCGAUCUUCUGGAACAGUACUGACGCUGAGGCGCGAAAGCGUGGGGAGCAAACAGGAUUAGAUACCCUAGUAGUCC
rnacentral:rRNA from 1 species